rnacentral:lncRNA from 1 species
AAAUGGUUCAACUUCAUACUCUUGUUUUCUCCCCCAGCCGUCAUGUAGCAGCAGCCAUCGUAUUAACAGGGACCAUCAUCUUAUUAGACUGAUCUUAGAGAUGGUUCUACCUCUUCGGGAGGUUAUAGUUUUCGAUCGUGGUUUCUCUGUUUAAACCUGGACGAUUCCCGAUGCGCAUUCUUUAAUCCGGCCCAUAUUAUGAUUCGCGAAAGUGGGUUGACCUUAUUGAUAUAUUGUUCACGGAUUCUGACUAUAUAAGACGAAGCAAUGCAAAUACAGAAAAAAGCAAAGAUACCCCAGUUAUCAUGGUAGGCAAUCUUAUGCUCAAAGGUGAUACAUAGACGUAAGAAAAACUGUUAGUUUUACCUAAACGCGUAUUAACAUACCUAUUGAAUCUGAAUAAUAGUAUAUUUGCUGUUUACAAGGAGCAAAAAACUGGAAGCCCAAACUAUAUUGCUGUUUUUGAGAAGACACAUUACAAGGAAGGGCGGGGAUGGGCAAACGAUAUUUGUGCAGCAGACUGGGGUAAAAUUCAAGAGGAGUUAGCUAGAGCGUCCCCAGAUGUGGAUGAUACUUCACCAGUUGAUGAACUCGAGUUACUCAAAAGUGCCUUGGGUCAUAGGAAUGGGCACGUACGCGGUGUUGGUCGUGUUGUUAAAAAUGUCACCCACGAAAUAUCGAGCUCAUACCCCCCGACACGACAACAACAACAAUCGGAAGAAAUGCAAGAAGAAAUGCAACAAAUGCGACAAGAAAUACAAGAAAUGCGACAACAACAAGUGCAAGUGCAAGUGCAAGUGUAAGUGCAACCAUUCUCAAACCAAGCAAUAAUGGAACUACAACAACAACAACAUGCGUUUCAAAUGCAACAAAUGGAAGCACAAUUUCAAUGCCGACUUAAUGAAUUGAAACGAAAAAUGCGUCAAGUUGACGAAGAUGAUGAAGAUGAUGAUUAGAAUUAGAUAUUUGCAUUAAACUUUUAAUUUGAAGUUUGUACUCGAUAACUAAUGUUUAUUUUGAAGCUUGGACUUGAUAACUAUGACGAAUAUUUUGUAUUUUGAAUCUUUAGUAUAAUAUGCAGUUUUGAAAUUUCAUGUUUAAAUUCGGUUUAAAAAUGCAGGUUAAUAAUU